rnacentral:tRNA from 1 species
GCCGGGAUAGCUCAGCUGGGAGAGCAACAGACUGAAGCCGAUUGGCCUUCUGGAGGUCCCGUGUUCAAUCCACGGUCCUGGCA